rnacentral:rRNA from 1 species
UACGGAGGGUGCAAGCGUUAUCCGGAUUCACUGGGUUUAAAGGGUGCGUAGGUGGAUCGGUAAGUCCGUGGUGAAAUCUCUGAGCUUAACUCAGAAACUGCCAUGGAUACUAUUUGUCUUGAAUACUGUGGAGGUAAGCGGAAUAUGUCAUGUAGCGGUGAAAUGCUUAGAUAUGACAUGGAACACCAAUUGCGAAGGCAGCUUACUACACAGUUAUUGACGCUGAGGCACGAAAGCGUGGGGAUCAAACAGG